rnacentral:rRNA from 1 species
CCUCUCGCUGCAGGGGCGGCCGAUGGCAGAUUAGCUAGUUGGUGGGGUAAAGGCCUACCAAGGCGACGAUCUGUAGCUGGUCUGAGAGGACGACCAGCCACACUGGGACUGAGACACGGCCCAGACUCCUACGGGAGGCAGCAGUGGGGAAUUUUGGACAAUGGGGGCAACCCUGAUCCAGCAAUGCCGCGUGUGUGAAGAAGGCCUUCGGGUUGUAAAGCACUUUUGUCCGGAAAGAAAACUUCGGGGUUAAUACCCCUGGAGGAUGACGGUACCGGAAGAAUAAGCACCGGCUAACUACGUGCCAGCAGCCGCGGUAAUACGUAGGGUGCGAGCGUUAAUCGGAAUUACUGGGCGUAAAGCGUGCGCAGGCGGUCCGCUAAGACCGAUGUGAAAUCCCCGGGCUUAACCUGGGAACUGCAUUGGUGACUGGCGGGCUAGAGUAUGGCAGAGGGGGGUAGAAUUCCACGUGUAGCAGUGAAAUGCGUAGAGAUGUGGAGGAAUACCGAUGGCGAAGGCAGCCCCCUGGGCCAAUACUGACGCUC